CUGUACUUUGGAGGAUUCUCUUCUGAUAACAACUCUGUGAUGGGUCCAUAGAGUCUGGAUCUUGACAUAAGAUUUGUGGUAAAAAAGCUUGCCACAGAUACUCUUGGUCCUAUAUGGUUUGCCAGCACCCUAUGCUCAACACUUACGAACUUGUCGUUUGAUAUGAGCUGUAGAAGAUCUCCAAUGUUAACCACUAGAGCCCCCGGUGUGGGAGGAACGUCAAUCCACUGAUUCUGAUGGAGAACUUGGAGACCACCAAUAUGGUCUUGAAGAAGCAGGGUGAGGAAGUCACUAUCUGCAUGCUUGCUUGUGCCCAUGGUUAAUUCUGGCUGGGGGCAUGCUGGGUAGUAGUGACACAGAAUCACAAGCCCCUCAUCACAAUCCAUGUCUUUCAAGUGGUUUGGGUUUAGACGAAGAGCCUCUGAUAAUAAUUGGAAUAGUAAAUUUCCCAAUUUUUGUACUUCCUUAGAGUACUGGAUUACAAUAUCUCUACAUGCAGCUGGCAGAUCUUCUGGUUUGCAAGGAUCAGGAGCCAUUCGAAAAGCAAUCGUAUCUCUCCAAUUAGCUGAUUGUGAACUAUAGAGAUCAAAGUUAGUAUUGUACGCAACCUUUUUUGUGAGAUCACGAGUGUAGAAUUCCUUUUUCAGCUCGGUAUCUUGUUCGUAGAACCUACGUACUCCAUCCUUCAUAUCCUCUAGCAGACUCACAGGAAUCCCAUGAUUUAGCACUUCAAAAAAUCCCCAAGUCUCUGAAGCAUUUCGUACCUUGUCAACAAUCUCCUUGCGCAAAGCUAAAUCUUGAUCAACGCCUCCAAGGUCUAUUACAGGAAAAGUGAACUUGGCAUCAGCAGCAGUAUGUGAAAUUUUGUCCGAGUCAUCAGGUGGAUGAUGGAAAAUGCGAGGAACUUCGGUAAUUCCAGCAUCAAUAAGUCCUUUAACACCAGCUUUUGUGUCAUCAAAAGCUUUCAACUCCGUUUUCCGGCAAUAAUCAGGGCUUAAUGUGGAGUUCAUCUUCCUUCGUUCAGUGAUCCAGUCUAAUAAUAUUCAGGCAAUGACAAGUAUACCACAUAUGGAUUUACGAUAAGAUUUGUAAUUAUU
rnacentral:misc_RNA from 1 species